GCAAGAGCCCGGAGACGGAAUCUGAGACAAGAUUCCGGGCCCUACGGGGCGCAGCAGGCGCGAAACCUUUACACUGCACGCCAGUGCGAUAAGGGGAUCCCGAGUGCACAGGCAUAGAGCCUGUGCUUUUCUGAACCGUAGGGAGGUUCAGGAACAAGAGCUGGGCAAGACCGGUGCCAGCCGCCGCGGUAAUACCGGCAGCUCGAGUGAUGGCCGAUCUUAUUGGGCCUAAAGCGUCCGUAGCUGGCCUUGCAAGUCCGUCGGGAAAUCCACCCGCUCAACGGGUGGGCGUCCGGCGGAAACUGUGAGGCUUGGGACCGGGAGGCUUGAAGGGUACGUCCGGGGUAGGAGUGAAAUCCCGUAAUCCUGGACGGACCGCCGAUGGGGAAACCACUUCAAGAGAACGGAUCCGACAGUGAGGGACGAAAGCUAGGGUCUCGAACCGGAUUAGAUACCCGGGUAGUCCUAGCUGUAAACGAUGCCUGUUAGGUGUGACUCCCACUACGAGUGGGUGUUGUGCCGUAGGGAAGCCGCUAAACAGGCCGCCUGGGAAGUACGUCUGCAAGGAUGAAACUUAAAGGAAUUGGCGGGGGAGCACUACAACCGGAGGAGCCUGCGGUUUAAUUGGACUCAACGCCGGACAUCUCACCAGCAUCGACUGUGGUAAUGACGGUCAGGUUGAUGACCUUACCCGAGCCACAGAGAGGAGGUGCAUGGCCGCCGUCAGCUCGUACCGUGAGGCGUCCUGUUAAGUCAGGCAACGAGCGAGACCCGCAUCCUUACUUGCCAGCAGCACCGUGAGGUGGCUGGGGACAGUAGGGAGACCGCCGUGGCUAACACGGAGGAAGGAACGGGCAACGGUAGGUCAGUAUGCCCCGAAUAUGCUGGGCAACACGCGGGCUACAAUGGCCGAGACAAUGGGUUCCAACGCCGAGAGGCGACGGUAAUCUCAGAAACUCGGUCGUAGUUCGGAUUGUGGACUGAAACUCGUCCACAUGAAGCUGGAUUCGGUAGUAAUCGC
rnacentral:rRNA from 1 species